UACAGAGGUCUCAAGCGUUUGUUUCGGGAUUUCAUUGGGCGUAAAGGGUGCGUAGGUGGCGCCGUAAGUUCGGGGUGUGAAAUUUUCGGAGCUUAACUCCGAAACUGCAUUCGAUACUGCGGUGGCUUUGAGGACUGGAGAGGAGACUGGAAAUUUCAUGGUGUAGCAGUGAAAUGCGUAGAGAUCAUGAGGAAGACCAGUGGCGAAGGCGGGUCUCUGGACAGUUUCCUGACACUGAGGCACGAAGGCCCAGGGGAGCAAACGGGG
rnacentral:rRNA from 1 species